UCACACAUCUUUGUGAUUCCAUAGCUUGUACUUAUUUUGUGAACAAAUAAUGUCCCUCAAGAAUGAUUACCAUUGUACAGGUAAGAGAACUGGAACCAAGAGAGCUUAAUAAUCUUGCCCAAGGUUAUACAGAAAAUAACCACCGCUGAAGCUUGUGUUCAUUUAUCUUUACUAGAAUGUUGAACACUGCUUAGGGAAAGAGGAAUAUUUACAGUUGACAGAGAACUGUCAGGACAGGUCUUCAGGGGCUCACGCUGAACAUGGGGGAAGAUUCAUCUAGUACAUGGAAUAAUACUUAGAGUUUCCUGUGACUUUCUUUGCCCAAUGGAACAUGACAGAACUAACGUAGCACCAGUUACCACCUUGGUCCUCAAGAGGCCUUCCACCCUUUAGCUCUCUUGCAAUCCUUCCUUCCCCAAAGGAACAAGUCUGCACUAACCAAUGAAGGAUGAGAAAACACAAGGAGGAGAGCCAAGGCACCCCAGUAACUGCAGAAGCAGAGCUGUUGACAGAUGCAUGGGGGAGUCCAGCCAAG